rnacentral:rRNA from 1 species
GACGAACGCUGGCGGCGUGCUUAACACAUGCAAGUCGAACGGUAAGGCCCUUCGGGGUACACGAGUGGCGAACGGGUGAGUAACACGUGGGUGAUCUGCCCUGCACCUCGGGACAAGCCUGGGAAACUGGGUCUAAUACCGGAUAGGACCACUGCCUGCAUGGGUGGUGGUGGAAAGCUUUUGUGGUGUGGGAUGGGCCCGCGGCCUAUCAGCUUGUUGGUGGGGUGAUGGCCUACCAAGGCGACGACGGGUAGCCGGCCUGAGAGGGUGACCGGCCACACUGGGACUGAGAUACGGCCCAGACUCCUACGGGAGGCAGCAGUGGGGAAUAUUGCACAAUGGGCGCAAGCCUGAUGCAGCGACGCCGCGUGAGGGAUGACGGCCUUCGGGUUGUAAACCUCUUUCAGCACCGACGAAGCGCAAGUGACGGUAGGUGCAGAAGAAGGACCGGCCAACUACGUGCCAGCCGCCGCGGUAA